rnacentral:lncRNA from 1 species
CAGGGAGGGCACAGAGCUGUGGACGAGGGCUGGGAAAGCCACCCAUCCAUCCAUUUAUCCAACCAUCCAACUACCAUUGGCAUCCACCCACCCUUCCAUCCAUUUAUCCAACCAUCCAACUACCAUUGGCCCACCCACCCUUCCAUCCAUUUAUCCAACCAUNNNNNNNNNNCCAUUGGCCCACCCACCCUUCCAUCCAUUUAUCCAACCAUCCAACUACCAUUGGCCCACCCACCCUUCCAUCCAUUUAUCCAACCAUCCAACUACCAUUGGCCCACCCACCCUUCCAUCCAUUUAUCCAACUAUCCAACUACCAUUGGCAUCCACCCACCCAUUCAUUUAUUCUUUGUUUCUUUCUGCUUGCCUGUUUGCCUUCCUUCCUUCCUAACCUCCCUCCUUCCUCCCUGCUUUUCACCCACCCAGCCAUCCAUCAAUCCAGCCAUCCACCCAGCCAUCCAAUUAUUUGUUUUAUGCUUACUUCCCGUGUGCAUUUUACCUGUUCUGUGAUGAACAUGUCGGCCCUCUAAACUUCCUG